rnacentral:rRNA from 1 species
ACGUAGGUGGCAAGCGUUAUCCGGAUUUACUGGGCGUAAAGGGUCCGUAGGUGGUUGGGAGGGUCUGGUGUGAAAGCGCUCGGCUCAACUGGGCGAGGCCGUGUGAGACUGGAAAACUGGAGAGAGGUAGAGGCGAAUGGAAUUCCGGGUGGAGUGGUGAAAUGCGUAGAGAUCCGGAGGAACCCCGGUGGCGAAGGCGACUUGCUGGGCCUGAACUGACGCUCAGACGCGAAAGCAUGGGGAGCGAACGG